CCAAGGUGAUGAUAUUUAGGAGGGAAGUCAAGAGUACUUGAACACAGGAUGGAUGGAUGAAGUGAGGCUUUGGAGGUGAUUAGGUCAUGAAGGAGAGACCUCAUGGAUGGAAUCAUCCCUUUAUAAAAGCACUUGCCCCUUCCACCUUGUCAGGACACAGUGAGAGGGUACUGUCUAUGAGCCAGGAAGAGAGCCCUUGCCAGACACCAAAUCCACUGGUGCCUUGGUCUUGAACUUUCUAGCUUUGAGAACCAUGGGAAAUAAAUUGUCAUUGUUUAGAGGCCACCUGGUUUGUAAUAUUUGGUUGUAACAGCCAAAAUAGACAAGACAAAAUUCUUCCCCAGAUAUGGUCCCUUGUCAAGGUUUCUUGUUGCCUCCAUGGAUAGCACCCUCACGCACCUGUUGCACAAAUCAUAGUUUCAGAGUCAUACUGGACAUCAUACAUCCAGCCUGUGUUCAAGUACACUUGACUUCCCUCCUAAAUAUCUCUCAAAUCCGUUUGUCUUACUUUACCUCCACCACCAGAUCCUGGUCUAUGCAGCUAUCAUCUUCAACCUCCAUGUCCUUAACUGCCAAUAGCACUGUCUCCACCUGCUCCUUAAAGCACCUCCCCAAUCCAGUCUCCACUUGUCUCGGAAAGUCCUCAGCCACACACAUAUAACAUAUAUUCACAUGUGCCCACAUAUAUAAACUCAUAUUUCCUUGCUGUAAGUUCCAAGAGUCUGGUAUUACUUUUCAUAGGCUCACCUUAAGUCCUAAUUGCAUGGUUUAGAAUGAUUCUCCCUCUCUAGGUCAUCUUUUCUCCCUCACUAGUUUAUACCCAUCACAUAGACUGAGAUUAAAUAAAUUAAAAGGUGUGUUUCUUCAGGCACGAUGGCUUAAGAAUAAUGUUGUAAUUUUUAAAUUUAACUUCUGUUUUGAUCUGCUGACUAGACCAUGGUUUUUGUGCUAAGUUGAAAGCUUUCUUGGAGUAAACACUCUGACAGUAGAAAUACUUCCCCACCUCCAGAGCAGAAAGAUUCCAAGGGGUGCCUUAACCCUGGCAUUGCUGUGUCUGCACUGGGGGGGGGUGUCUGCUGCCUCUGGCCUGCUCACCUGGUAGAGUCAUUAGGGAGGCAUUUGCAUGGCUUGCUCUUUGUUAAAUCAUUCAAUAGAACUGGCAGCAUCUGGAGCUAUAUGUACCAUGGAAUAUUUAGACAGCAGGCCUUUGGGCCAGAACUUUGAUAUGUAAAUGAUUUCCAAUCAUUUGCUCUCCCAAGACCUGUUGGCUGUGCUGACUCAGAUCCAGGAUGCAGAGACCAAAAUGAGAAGCCCUGAGUGUUCUGCUUGGGGAUUCUCAUGUGAGUCAUUGUCAGAGUUUUGGAAAAGAAAUUAUAUUUGUUUCUAUUUCUAGAAAGCCAAGAAGCAUCCCAAUUUUAAAACCUUCUGUCUUUUUUUUUUGAUUUUCACAUUUUUUUUCUCCUAAAUCUUCCCCACACAGAGUUGGGGUGAAAGCUGUGAGGCUUGGCUGGGGUGGGAACCCUCCUGACCCCUAAUUCACAUUUUCCCAUUUAUUCACCCCUCACCUGAAAGUGCUCAAUUCUCAGGGAAGUUUUGUUCCUGUUAACUACCUCUGACCCAACUUCUGGGCAGAGUUCACAUUGUGUAUGCUCACAUAAUCAUUGGGGAGAGCAGUUCUCCGCUCCUCAGGACUAGGAACAAAACCUAAACAGGGCUUAGCAUGAACUGGGGUUACAAGAUACUGACUUGCAAGAUGCAGGAUGCCACUCCCCAGCAGCACUGAAGAUCAUGUGUCUCCGGGCUGAAACCAGUCUGUGUGUCUGGAACCUACUCUGACAAGGUCACUGCAUCUGUUGCUUGGGCAUUUCCCAAGGCCUGUGGAUUGAGCCAUCUCAGGAGUGUGAAGAGGGUGGAGCAAAAGCCAUGAGGAAUUUGUUGGUGAUUGAAUGGUGAGGAGCUAGAAGUAGUGGUCCUGGAUGCAGGUGCCCUGUCUGUAUCUUGGUGGCAAGGUGACCCCAGGGAAGAAACUGUUACUGGACCCUUAUGCUUUCAUCUUUAGAGCAGGAUAAGGACACCUACUUAGAGAUUUACAGUGAAGCAGCAGCUGGGAUGAUGUGAAGCACUAGAAUUAUUAAUACUGGGGAAUAUUUACUGUGAGGAGGUGGGAGAUGCUGGAAGAAAAGGGGGUCAUUAAUGUGCAACCCUGGAGCGGGGAGGGCAAGGAUGUGGACGAGGGAUGGUGGAAUCCCCAAACUCUGCCAGUGGGAUGGAAGAUGCCAGAUCUUCAUGGGGCUGAGAUAUCCUCAAGGCAAUGUGUCUCUUUUCCCAUCUUUACAGACAAAGAAUAUGAAGCCGAUAGGGAUAAAGUGAGUAACCCAAGGUCACAAGACAAGAGAGCUGGUCCAGGACAAGAACUUGGUGCUCAUGUCAGGUUCUCUCUGCCACAUCUUGAGAAUACGUGCAUCCUUUGCCUUUUAAGACUCCAUCAGCCUCGAAGUUCAUUUGUGUGGCACUAAAAGUAAACCAAAAGCAGGAAGCUAAGGAUCUUUCACCUCUAAUGCACCCUGACCUUGGCUAUUUCAUGUCAGGGUCUGUGCAGUCUAAGCCCAGGCAGCCAACAUGCUUGGAGGAUACUUCAUGUAGUGGUACCUACAGCUCUUUCCAGAAGGCCAUGAAAAUCGAAUUACAUGAAGUAUGAGCCACAAAGAAGUGCUACACAGCCAAUAUAUCACACCACACAUGAUGACUCACAUGUGAUUUGAACUUGUCUCUAUUUGGUUAAAUCUGGGCUCACGAAUACUUGAGAGACAAGGCCUCACUCUGUUGCCCAGGCUGGAGUGCUG
rnacentral:lncRNA from 1 species